GGUAAACUGGGUACGGUUGUGCCAGGGUACGGUAGUGACAGUCGCAAUUGUAGCGAAACUAUACGUAAUACGGGGGAGGGUAUGAGGGAGAAAGACGUGCCUUACAAGCCUAAACAUGUUUCCCAGAAUUGCGUUAGCCGGCGCAAGACGUUGACGUAAGCAGGAGCCCACAUUGCUUUUCAGCAAUCAAAAAUGUCCAGAAUACGUUUGUGGAAGACCGAAAGAGCGCAGUGUGAUAACAAAAAAUAUAAAGAUGCCGAUGAAGAAGUGAAACAAGGGAUUUCGUACGUGUAGCUCAAGCUACAAGCCAUUCUACAGCUACAGGUUUUAACAGAGCAAAUGUUGUUUUGUUGAUUGUUAAAACUAUGUUUGUCAGCUUAUAAUGUUAAACAUUUCUACAAUAAAAGAUAUUAUAGACCAUUUUGA
rnacentral:lncRNA from 1 species